rnacentral:miRNA from 1 species
UCAGUUUGUCAUAUACACCGGG